rnacentral:rRNA from 1 species
AGUCGAGCGGCAGCACGGGAAGCUUGCUUCCUGGUGGCGAGCGGCGGACGGGUGAGUAAUGCAUAGAAAUCUGCCCGGUAGUGGGGGAUAACCUGGGGAAACCCAGGCUAAUACCGCAUACGUCCUACGGGAGAAAGCAGGGGAUCUUCGGACCUCGCGCUAUCGGAUGAGUCUAUGUCGGAUUAGCUUGUUGGUGAGGUAAUGGCUCACCAAGGCGACGAUCCGUAGCUGGUCUGAGAGGAUGAUCAGCCACAUCGGGACUGAGACACGGCCCGAACUCCUACGGGAGGCAGCAGUGGGGAAUAUUGGACAAUGGGCGAAAGCCUGAUCCAGCCAUGCCGCGUGUGUGAAGAAGGCCUUCGGGUUGUAAAGCACUUUCAGUGGGGAAGAAAGCCUUGGGGCUAAUACCCUCGAGGAAGGACAUCACCCACAGAAGAAGCACCGGCUAACUCCGUGCCAGCAGCCGCGGUAAUACGGAGGGUGCGAGCGUUAAUCGGAAUUACUGGGCGUAAAGCGCGCGUAGGCGGUCUGAUAAGCCGGUUGUGAAAGCCCCGGGCUCAACCUGGGAACGGCAUCCGGAACUGUCAGGCUAGAGUGCAGGAGAGGAAGGUAGAAUUCCCGGUGUAGCGGUGAAAUGCGUAGAGAUCGGGAGGAAUACCAGUGGCGAAGGCGGCCUUCUGGACUGACACUGACGCUGAGGUGCGAAAGCGUGGGUAGCAAACAGGAUUAGAUACCCUGGUAGUCCACGCCGUAAACGAUGUCGACUAGCCGUUGGGGUCCUUGAGACCUUUGUGGCGCAGUUAACGCGAUAAGUCGACCGCCUGGGGAGUACGGCCGCAAGGUUAAAACUCAAAUGAAUUGACGGGGGCCCGCACAAGCGGUGGAGCAUGUGGUUUAAUUCGAUGCAACGCGAAGAACCUUACCUACCCUUGACAUCGUGCGAACUUUCCAGAGAUGGAUUGUGCCUUCG